CACGUAGGUGGCAAGCGUUGUCCGGAAUUACUGGGUGUAAAGGGAGCGCAGGCGGAAUGGCAAGUUGAAUGUGAAAUCCCGGGGCUCAACCCCGGAACUGCGUUCAAAACUGCUGUUCUUGAGUGAUGUAGAGGUAGGCGGAAUUCCCGGUGUAGCGGUGGAAUGCGUAGAUAUCGGGAGGAACACCAGUGGCGAAGGCGGCCUACUGGGCAUUAACUGACGCUGAGGCUCGAAAGUGUGGGGAGCAAACAGG
rnacentral:rRNA from 1 species